CGUGAGCAAAACCCUGCCCCUUCAGAGGGGGACGAACAGUUGGAAACGACUGCUAAUACCGCAUAACGUAUAUAGGUCGCAUGGUCUGUAUACCAAAGGAGAAAAUCCGCUGAGGGAUGGGCUCACGUCUGAUUAGCUGGUUGGUGGGGUAACGGCCUACCAAGGCGACGAUCAGUAGCCGGACUGAGAGGUUGACCGGCCACAUUGGGACUGAGAUACGGCCCAGACUCCUACGGGAGGCAGCAGUGGGGAAUAUUGGGCAAUGGGCGCAAGCCUGACCCAGCAACGCCGCGUGAAGGAAGAAGGCUUUCGGGUUGUAAACUUCUUUUAUGAGGGACGAAGGAAGUGACGGUACCUCAUGAAUAAGCCACGGCUAACUACGUGC
rnacentral:rRNA from 1 species